rnacentral:rRNA from 1 species
CACGUAGGGGGCGAGCGUUGUCCGGAUUUACUGGGCGUAAAGAGCGCGCAGGCGGUCGAUCAAGUCGAGUGUGAAAGCCCCCGGCUCAACUGGGGAGGGUCAUUCGAUACUAAUCGACUCGAAGGCAGGAGAGGGUAGUGGAAUUCCCGGUGUAGUGGUGAAAUGCGUAGAUAUCGGGAGGAACACCAGUGGCGAAGGCGACUACCUGGCCUGUUCUUGACGCUGAGGCGCGAAAGCUAGGGGAGCAAACGGG